GGUCCCAUAGCUCAGUCGGUUAGAGCAACUGACUCAUAAUCAGUGGGUCCUUGGUUCGAGCCCAAGUGGGACCA
rnacentral:tRNA from 1 species